GAGAUAACUUUCAUUGUGCUUUAUGCUGAACCAUGUGCUCAAUGAAUGACUGAUCAAUGUUUUGUCAAACCUGGACAUGGUAGACUACAAAAGCAACAUGAUGAAUACAAGCUAUAAUAUGUUUCAAAAUAUAGUUCUUUAUGAUCAAAAUGAAGGGAAAUAUUCCACUGGGAUCUCACAUUCAGGACAAAACUACCAAGUCAAACUUACAAAGUUUAAUGUAAGGUUAUAUUCCAACAGCCACGUACACAUUGACAAGUCAAACAGAAAUAAGAGAUUGCCAAGGGAACGAUGUUCCACUCAAGGAGCAGCUGAGCCUUUUGGAUCCCAAUGUUACUCAAGCAUUUGGGAAAAACCAUGAGACAGGUGACAGUAUCUGACCGCAUUCCUGUGCUACUGGUUCUCCUCCUAUGACCUGCCUUAAUCCAGAUCUUCAGGGACAGUGUCCAGAAGGAAGAAAGCUGUUCUGUCUCCUUGAAUGUCAAGUUCUUGACUGCAGUUCUUUCCUCCUACUUUUUCUUCUGCUUUAAUUAUCUUUAAUAUUUAAGAAAUGGCACCUGGAUAUAAGACCGUACUCUUCUUCCUUUAGAUGUUGGGUUGGUUUGUUUUUUUUUUCCACCUACUAACUUCAUAUCUUAUAUUCCUCCACAAGAUACCUGAAGAAGCACCAUUUGUCUUUUCAGAAGAGUCUGAAAACAAUUUACCUGACUUACUUUACUUUGAGCCAUUGUAAUCAGUUUAUGUCUGGGUAUGAUUUCUUUUCUUCCCCACAAUUACACAAGCUUCCAGUCUUACCUUUAUGCCAUAGUUUAUAUCUCGUGAGUUGAAUCUUAAUAAAAGACAGUUACAAGCCUUUUUAUAAGCAUUAUUACUGUUUGUUGGAUAUGUAAUGUAAGUAUUAAAGUCUGAAGAUGUUCUG